rnacentral:rRNA from 1 species
AUGCUGUGAGCUCGAUGAGUAGGGCGGGACACGUGGUAUCCUGUCUGAAUAUGGGGGGACCAUCCUCCAAGGCUAAAUACUCCUGACUGACCGAUAGUGAACCAGUACCGUGAGGGAAAGGCGAAAAGAACCCCGGCGAGGGGAGUGAAAAAGAACCUGAAACCGUGUACGUACAAGCAGUGGGAGCCUCUUAAUGGGGUGACUGCGUACCUUUUGUAUAAUGGGUCAGCGACUUAUAUUCUGUAGCAAGGUUAACCGAAUAGGGGAGCCGAAGGGAAACCGAGUCUUAACUGGGCGUUAAGUUGCAGGGUAUAGACCCGAAACCCGGUGAUCUAGCCAUGGGCAGGUUGAAGGUUGGGUAACACUAACUGGAGGACCGAACCGACUAAUGUUGAAAAAUUAGCGGAUGACUUGUGGCUGGGGGUGAAAGGCCAAUCAAACCGGGAGAUAGCUGGUUCUCCCCGAAAGCUAUUUAGGUAGCGCCUCGUGAAUUCAUCUCCGGGGGUAGAGCACUGUUUCGGCAAGGGGGUCAUCCCGACUUACCAACCCGAUGCAAACUGCGAAUACCGGAGAAUGUUAUCACGGGAGACACACGGCGGGUGCUAACGUCCGUCGUGAAGAGGGAAACAACCCAGACCGCCAGCUAAGGUCCCAAAGUCAUGGUUAAGUGGGAAACGAUGUGGGAAGGCCCAGACAGCCAGGAUGUUGGCUUAGAAGCAGCCAUCAUUUAAAGAAAGCGUAAUAGCUCACUGGUCGAGUCGGCCUGCGCGGAAGAUGUAACGGGGCUAAACCAUGCACCGAAGCUGCGGCAGCGACACUAUGUGUUGUUGGGUAGGGGAGCGUUCUGUAAGCCUGUGAAGGUGUGCUGUGAGGCAUGCUGGAGGUAUCAGAAGUGCGAAUGCUGACAUAAGUAACGAUAAAGCGGGUGAAAAGCCCGCUCGCCGGAAGACCAAGGGUUCCUGUCCAACGUUAAUCGGGGCAGGGUGAGUCGACCCCUAAGGCGAGGCCGAAAGGCGUAGUCGAUGGGAAACAGGUUAAUAUUCCUGUACUUGGUGUUACUGCGAAGGGGGGACGGAGAAGGCUAUGUUGGCCGGGCGACGGUUGUCCCGGUUUAAGCGUGUAGGCUGGUUUUCCAGGCAAAUCCGGAAAACCAAGGCUGAGGCGUGAUGACGAGGCACUACGGUGCUGAAGCGACAAAUGCCCUGCUUCCAGGAAAAGCCUCUAAGCAUCAGGUAACAUCAAAUCGUACCCCAAACCGACACAGGUGGUCAGGUAGAGAAUACCAAGGCGCUUGAGAGAACUCGGGUGAAGGAACUAGGCAAAAUGGUGCCGUAACUUCGGGAGAAGGCACGCUGAUAUGUAGGUGAAGCGACUUGCUCGUGGAGCUGAAAUCAGUCGAAGAUACCAGCUGGCUGCAACUGUUUAUUAAAAACACAGCACUGUGCAAACACGAAAGUGGACGUAUACGGUGUGACGCCUGCCCGGUGCCGGAAGGUUAAUUGAUGGGGUUAGCGGUAACGCGAAGCUCUUGAUCGAAGCCCCGGUAAACGGCGGCCGUAACUAUAACGGUCCUAAGGUAGCGAAAUUCCUUGUCGGGUAAGUUCCGACCUGCACGAAUGGCGUAAUGAUGGCCAGGCUGUCUCCACCCGAGACUCAGUGAAAUUGAACUCGCUGUGAAGAUGCAGUGUACCCGCGGCAAGACGGAAAGACCCCGUGAACCUUUACUAUAGCUUGACACUGAACAUUGAGCCUUGAUGUGUAGGAUAGGUGGGAGGCUUUGAAGUGUGGACGCCAGUCUGCAUGGAGCCGACCUUGAAAUACCACCCUUUAAUGUUUGAUGUUCUAACGUUGGCCCGUAAUCCGGGUUGCGGACAGUGUCUGGUGGGUAGUUUGACUGGGGCGGUCUCCUCCUAAAGAGUAACGGAGGAGCACGAAGGUUGGCUAAUCCUGGUCGGACAUCAGGAGGUUAGUGCAAUGGCAUAAGCCAGCUUGACUGCGAGCGUGACGGCGCGAGCAGGUGCGAAAGCAGGUCAUAGUGAUCCGGUGGUUCUGAAUGGAAGGGCCAUCGCUCAACGGAUAAAAGGUACUCCGGGGAUAACAGGCUGAUACCGCCCAAGAGUUCAUAUCGACGGCGGUGUUUGGCACCUCGAUGUCGGCUCAUCACAUCCUGGGGCUGAAGUAGGUCCCAAGGGUAUGGCUGUUCGCCAUUUAAAGUGGUACGCGAGCUGGGUUUAGAACGUCGUGAGACAGUUCGGUCCCUAUCUGCCGUGGGCGCUGGAGAACUGAGGGGGGCUGCUCCUAGUACGAGAGGACCGGAGUGGACGCAUCACUGGUGUUCGGGUUGUCAUGCCAAUGGCACUGCCCGGUAGCUAAAUGCGGAAGAGAUAAGUGCUGAAAGCAUCUAAGCACGAAACUUGCCCCGAGAUGAGUUCUCCCUGAGACUUAGAGUCUCCUGAAGGAACGUUGAAGACGACGACGUUGAUAGGCCGGGUGUGUAAGCGCAGCGAUGCGUUGAGCUAACCGGUACUAAUGAACCGUGAGGCUUAACCUU